rnacentral:rRNA from 1 species
GACGUAGGGCGCGAGCGUUGUCCGGAUUUAUUGGGCGUAAAGAGCUCGUAGGCGGCUUGUCGCGUCGUCCGUGAAAACCUGGGGCUCAACCCCGGGAGGCGGGCGGAUACUGUCGGGCUAGAGUCCGGAAGAGGCAAGUGGAAUUCCUGGUGUAGCGGUGAAAUGCGCAGAUAUCAGGAGGAACACCGAUGGCGAAGGCAGCUUGCUGGGACGGUACUGACGCUGAGACGCGAAAGCUAGGGGAGCAAACGGG